GGAGGGAUGGCCGAGUGGCCCAAGGCGACGGCCUGCUAAGCCGUGGCGGGGUUAAAACCCCGCCCCCGGGUUCGAAUCCCGGUCCCUCCGCCA
rnacentral:tRNA from 1 species